rnacentral:rRNA from 1 species
UACGUAGGGGGCAAGCGUUGUCCGGAAUCAUUGGGCGUAAAGCGCACGUAGGCGGUCCAGCAAGUCGGGUGUGAAAGCCCUCGGCUUAACCGAGGAAGUGCAUUCGAAACUACUGGACUUGAAUACUGGAGAGGAUCGCGGAAUUCCCGGUGUAGAGGUGAAAUUCGUAGAUAUCGGGAGGAACACCAGUGGCGAAGGCGGCGAUCUGGACAGAUAUUGACGCUGAGGUGCGAAAGCGUGGGGAGCGAACAGG